GGUUUCUGUUUGUAAUUAUAUUUCAAGCAUGAAGGAAGAGUAAGGAGAGUUAUCUACCUAGAUUGAAAGUGGUUACGAAAAAUGUUCCGUAUGUGGCCAGGUUUGCCGAAUGGAAUAACUUGGACCAUUUCGUCGCCAUCUUGAAUCUUCGUAUAUGUAUAGUGUUACGUUUAGUUGUGGUAGUAAUUAGUAAGUAGUGUGUCAUCCAACACACUUACUGAUCACUAAUACAACUAAACAUAACACUAUAUAUGUACGAAUAUUCAAGAUGGCGACGAAUUGGUCCAAGUCAUUCCAUUUGGCAAACCUGGCCACAUACGGAACAUUUUUCGUGACCACUUUUUUUCUCUCUACACUAUCGAGAUAACUCUCCUUACUCUUCCUUCAUGGUUUCAAGCAUGAAACAUAAAAAACAAAACAUAAAGAAAGUCUUCCACAAACCAUAUUUCAUAGAUUACUCAUUGUUGAUAUAGAUGACAUGUUACAUAUAGUUUACAUUGUUUACGCGUAUACGUAGACUAUUAUAGUUUACGGAUAAAUGCCCAACCCUGGUUUAAAGCAUAAAACAUAAAAAACGAAAUAUAAAGAAAGUCUUCGACUUUUUCUUCUUUCUUUUAUGGCUGGUUGGGCAUUAGUCGCCCAUACACCAUUGUUUCUUAUGGGUUUGUAAAAUAUAAGCAAAAUUCCUCUUAAGAGAGGAGGAGUCCAAAAAAAGGUCCAGACAAAGGACAUACGCAGCACGCAAAAACACGUCCGAAUCCGACACGUUGUCAGUCGGAACUACCCACAGAAGCCGUAUCUACGGCCAGUAUUCAUAGUCCGUUCUUAUAUUCAAGAUCGUCUUAAGGAUCGGCAGGAGUGACGGCCAAACUCCGAAUUGAUCAAGAGACACGGUAGUGUCUCGCGGCAAGUCACGCGCAGCAACAGCAAGGCACCCCGGAUCUUUUCAAUUUUUACCUUUAAGGAAUUGAUAAACUACGCUAAAAUCUUUAUUCGAGAAUCCAUGAGCAAUGAUCGCUCUAUAAAUCUGAUGUGCCAGAGAACCGAGAGGAAUCGGAGCUUGCGUUCUGAUUGCAGCAGAUUGAGCUAAUCCCAAAUCUUUGGCCAUCAAUGUUGUGCCAAAACCACCCUAGAUUGGUAGGAUUCCUGGGACUGGAUUGUAGAGAUCAGAAGACCAGCAUCUUCCCGAGCUGGAAUUUACGAUGUUUGCUAGCACCUUGGCAUCCAAGCCCAGCCUAAAACAUAUAAAGCGCAUACAGUCUAACAUUAGAGAAUUAAAGCGGAUAAAUAAACAUCCCGCUUGUUUCUCACUUUUGUCCAAGGUUGAAUGCCUCUGCAGUACCGAUCAUACUAAUAGCUAAUAGCAUGUUAUUACAU